rnacentral:pre_miRNA from 1 species
UGGACAGAUUAUUGUAUUCGACUUUAUUCACACUGUUUUUAAACGGAAAGUGAAUCAGUUAACAUAAUAGACUCCU